AAUAACUACUUUAGUACCGCAUGGUACAGAAGUACAAAGUCUUUAUGUGCUGAGAGAUGGUCUCGCGUCUGAUUAGCUAGUUGGCGGGGUAACGGCCCACCAAGGCGACGAUCAGUAGCCGGUCUGAGAGGAUGAACGGCCACAUUGGGACUGAGAUACCGGCCCAGACUCCUACGGGGAGGCAGCAGGUGGGGGAAUUAGUUGGGCAAUGGGGGAAACCCUGACCCAGCAACGCCGCGUGAAGGAAGAAGGCCUUCGGGUUGUAAACUUCUUUUACCAGGGACGAAGAACGUGACGGUACCUGGAGAAAAGCCACGGCUAACUACGUG
rnacentral:rRNA from 1 species